rnacentral:rRNA from 1 species
UGGGGAAUAUUGGACAAUGGGGGAAACCCUGAUCCAGCAAUGCCGCGUGAGUGAAGAAGGCCUUCGGGUUGUAAAGCUCUUUUAUUGGGGAAGAUUAUGACGGUACCCAAGGAAUAAGCUCCGGCUAACUUCGUGCCAGCAGCCGCGGUAAUACGAAGGGAGCUAGCGUUGUUCGGAAUUACUGGGCGUAAAGGGCGCGUAGGCGGCCUUUUAAGUCAGAUGUGAAAGCCCCGGGCUUAACCUGGGAACUGCAUUUGAUACUGAAAGGCUUGAGAUCGAGAGAGGAAAAUGGAAUUGUGAGUGUAGAGGUGAAAUUCGUAGAUAUUCACAAGAACACCAGUGGCGAAGGCGGUUUUCUGGCUCGAUACUGACGCUAAGGCGCGAAAGCGUGGGGAGCAAA